rnacentral:lncRNA from 1 species
GCAUGAGCAUUCUUACAGUCUCUGAGGAGGCUCAACAGUUCCAGAUAAUCGUAUCCAGAAUCAACAACUUUCUGGUUUCCAGAAGAAGGACAAAUAUUGCAUUACAGAAGGAAGGACCAUCAUAUGUUUCAGCAAAGAUUCAGUCUGCAGGAGCGCAGUAGACAUUAGAGACACACGCAAAAGAAGAGAAGAGGGGAAAUGUGUUUCAGUGUUAAAGUGAUUGGAAUGAAGAACCGGAAAAUCUGAGCUGACUGCUUUGUUUCAAAUAGAAAUAAAUAAAACAGUAACCUGAAGAGGACUAGUGAGGCAAGAGAAGGAUCAUACAGGCACUAAUUUUAAAGGUAAGCAGAGCAAUGGAAGAUUGUGCUCAGGAAACAUGAUGACUGCGUUAGUAUGUGUGGGGAGAGAAGAAACUCAAAUUUUAAAAAAUUAUUUGUAAACCAAGAAAAUAUGAAUUCUUUAAAUUUUAAACAGAAGUUAAAAAUGUUUGAUUUAAUAAAAAGCUAAAAAUUCUUUGAGCAAUCACAUCUUCCCUCUCUGCAGAAAGUUAUACAUCUAUACCC